rnacentral:rRNA from 1 species
AUUGAACGCUGGCGGCAGGCUUAACACAUGAAAGUCGAACGAGUGGCGGACGGGUGAGUAAUGCUUGGGAAUCUAGCUUAUGGAGGGGGAUAACUCCGGGAAACUGUAGCUAAUACCGCGUACCAUAGGAUGAGCCCAAGUGGGAUUAGGUAGUUGGUGAGGUAAAGGCUCACAAAGCCGACGAUCUCUAGCUGGUCUGAGAGGAUUACCAUCAACACUGGGAGUGAGACACGGCCUGGACUCCUGCGUGAGGCAGGAGGGGAGAAUAUUGAGCAAUGGGGGCAACCUGACGCAGCCAGGCCGCGGGAAUGAAGAAGGCCUGCGGGUUGAAAAGAUCUUUCGGUAGCGAGGCGUUAGCUACAGAAGAAGGACCGGCUAACUCCGUGCCAGCGGCCGCGGUAAUUC